AAAACCAAGUCUCUAAGCAAUGGAUGUCUUGGCUCCUCACACGAUGAAGAACGUGGCAUAAUGUGUUAAGUAACCGGAGUUGCAAACAUCAUGACAGGUUAAUCUUUGAAUGCAAAUUGCGCUAAACUCGAUCUCGGUCGAGAAGCAUGGGUGUGACAGUACUACAUCUUUUAUAAUAAUUCUUAUUCUAAGCGAAUAAGUAAAUAAUAUAUAAGACAAACAACACGUAGUCUGCCAUACGCAGGAAGACCCGCUGAACUGAAGCAUCUCAUUAAGCGGAGGAAAAGAAACUAACUAGGAUUCCCUUAGUAAAGGCGAUCGAAAAGGGAACAGCCCAACGUCUUAAUCCCGCAAGGGAAAUGUAGUCGGUUCACCUAUUGCACUGGUCUAAGUCAGAUGGAAUGCUGCGCGAUUCAGAGUAAAAGCCUCGUAUGACCAACCGCAAGCUUACGAUGGACCGGGGAGAGUCGGAUACUUUGAGAGUAGUGUCUUAAAGGGGGUGGUAUGUCCCAUCCAAGGCUAAAUAACGUGA
rnacentral:ncRNA from 1 species